rnacentral:misc_RNA from 1 species
CAGAGUUUUCUAACUCCCAAACCCAUGUGAACUUACCACUGUUGCCUCGGCGGAGCCUACCCUGUAGCUACCCUGUAGGGUGGUUACCCUGUAGCGCCCCGCCGGCGGAUUUUCAAACUCUUGUUAUUUUUAGUAUUCUGAGAGUCUUAUUUUAAAUAAGUCA